UACGGAGGGUGCAAGCGUUGUUCGGAAUUACUGGGCGUAAAGCGCACGUAGGCGGAUCUAUAAGUCGGAUGUGAAAGCCCCAGGCUUAACCUGGGAAUUGCAUCCGAAACUGUAGACCUUGAAUGCUUGAGAGGAUGACGGAAUUCCUGGUGUAGAAGUGAAAUUCGUAGAUAUCAGGAGGAACACCGGAGGCGAAGGCGGUUGUCUGGCGAUGCAUUGACGCUGAGGUGCGAAAGCGUGGGGAGCAAACAGG
rnacentral:rRNA from 1 species